UACGUAGGGUGCAAGCGUUGUCCGGAAUUAUUGGACGUAAAGAGCUCGUAGGCGGUUUGUUGCGUCGGCUGUGAAAUCCCGAGGCUCAACCUCGGGUCUGCAGUCGAUACGAGCAAACUAGAGUGUUGCAGGGGAGACUGGAAUUCCUGGUGUAGCGGUGAAAUGCGCAGAUAUCAGGAGGAACACCGGUGGCGAAGGCGGGUCUCUGGGCAACAACUGACGCUGAGGAGCGAAAGCGUGGGGAGCGAACAGG
rnacentral:rRNA from 1 species